GCCGAUGUGGUGAAAUUGGUAGACACGCCAUCUUGAGGGGGUGGUGAGGAGACUCGUGCUGGUUCGAAUCCAGUCAUCGGCACCA
rnacentral:tRNA from 1 species